rnacentral:tRNA from 2 species
GUGGCCGUAGCUCAAGGGUGGAGCGCCAGACUGUGGCUCUGGAGGUUGCGGGUUCAAGUCCCGUCGGCCACCCCA